rnacentral:rRNA from 1 species
UACGAAGGUGGCAAGCGUUGUUCGGAUUUACUGGGCGUAAAGGGCGCGUAGGCGGUCAGCACAAGUCAGUUGUGAAAUCUCCGGGCUUAACUCGGAAAGGUCAACUGAUACUGUGCGACUAGAGUGCGGAAGGGGCAACUGGAAUUCUCGGUGUAGCGGUGAAAUGCGUAGAUAUCGAGAGGAACACCUGCGGCGAAGGCGGGUUGCUGGGCCGACACUGACGCUGAUGCGCGAAAGCCAGGGGAGCGAACGGG